UAGAGUUUGAUCCUGGCUCACAAUGAACGCUGGCGGCGUGCUUAACACAUGCAAGUCGAACGAUGAAGCCUAGCUUGCUAGGUGGAUUAGUGGCGCACGGGUGAGUAAUAUAUAGAUAAUGUGCCUCUUAGUCUGGGAUAGCCAUUGGAAACGAUGAUUAAUACUAGAUACUCCUUCUAACUCUAAUGUUAGUUGGGAAAGUUUUUCGCUAAGAGAUCAGUCUAUAUCCCAUCAGCUUGUUGGUAGUGUAAGAGACUACCAAGGCUAUGACGGGUAGCGGGUUUGAGAGGAUGAUCCGCCACACUGGUACUGAGACACGGACCAGACUCCGACGGGAGGCAGCAGUGAGGAAUAUUGCACAAUGGAGGGAACUCUGAUGCAGCAACGCCGCGUGGAGGAUGACGCAUUUCGGUGUGUAAACUCCUUUUAUAUGUCAAGAAAAUGACGGUAGCAUAUGAAUAAGCACCGGCUAACUCCGUGCCAGCACCCUCCGUAAUACGGAGGGCGCAAGCGUUAUUCGGAAUUAUUGGGCGUAAAGGGCGUGUAGGCGGUCUUAUCGGUCAGAUGUGAAAGCCCAGGGCUCAACCCUGGACGUGCAUUUGAAACAGUAAGACUUGAGUACUGGAGAGGAAAGCGGAAUUCCUGGUGUAGAGGUGAAAUUCGUAGAUAUCAGGAGGAACACCGAUGGCGAAGGCAGCUUUCUGGACAGAAACUGACGCUGAUGCGCGAAGGCGUGGGUAGCGAACAGGAUUAGAUACCCUGGUAGUCCACGCAGUAAACGAUGUACACUAGGUGUAGGUGAUAUUAAAAUUGUCUGUGCCGCAGCUAACGCAUUAAGUGUACCGCCUGGGGGAGUACGGUCGCAAGAUUAAAACUCAAAGGAAUAGACGGGGACCCGCACAAGCGGUGGAGCAUGUGGUUUAAUUCGACGAUACGCGAAGAACCUUACCUGGACUUGACAUAGAAAGAAUUACGCAGAGAUGUAUAAGUGCUAGCUUGCUAGAACUUUCAUACAGGUGCUGCACGGCUGUCGUCAGCUCGUGUCGUGAGAUGUUGGGUUAAGUCCCGCAACGAGCGCAACCCUCGUGUUUAGUUACUAACAGUUCGGCUGAGGACUCUAAACAGACUGCCUGGGUAACCAGGAGGAAGGUGAGGACGACGUCAAGUCAUCAUGGCCCUUAUGUCCAGGGCUACACACGUGCUACAAUGGGGCAUACAAAGAGCAGCGAUACCGCGAGGUGGAGCAAAUCUGUUAAAAUGCCUCUCAGUUCGGAUAGCACUCUGCAACUCGAGUGCUUGAAGUUGGAAUCGCUAGUAAUCGUGGAUCAGCAAUGCCACGGUGAAUACGUUCCCGGGUCUUGUACUCACCGCCCGUCACACCAUGGGAAUUGAAUUCAUUCGAAGCGGGGAUGCUAAAAUAGCUACCUUCCACAGUGGAUUUAGUAACUUAGGGUGAAGUCGUAAGCAAGGUAACC
rnacentral:rRNA from 1 species